GUGUCAACCCAGUACUAAUACGUCAGUUCAUCAUCUACUCACUUGGCAAGUGGGGACCCUUGUAGAAAGACACCAUUCCUCCUAUCUACUAUUUGCUACCAAGAACUGAAGUCUUGGCCAUUUUGAUGUCUUGCUUCCUGAUCAUAGGCCCAUGCUAUUUGUUUCUUCCAACUGGAGUUUGCCAAGAUCAGGCAAGAAAUUGUAGAUGAGAAGGAAGUUAUCUAGGGCAAAGUUAUCCCGUCCUUCCUCUUUUUCCGUGUUCAAUAAGAGCAUUAGAAGGUAAAGUAAGAGAACAGGUGAGUGGCCAUGUUGAAGUAAAGGGAAUUGGAACAUCAGGAACACAGGAAAAUACCCAGGGACAUGACAACCACACCAGGCUUCAUGGUGUCUUGAUGAACCUGCAGGACAGAGCGGGACACAGGAAAACUUCCAGCUACACAAACAGGUUUUCCCCAUAGAAGACGCAACAGAACCUGCGCAUGUGGCUUCAUCUCUAACCUGCAGCCUUGGGAAUGAGUCUCCAGCCUGUACAGCUUAAGCAUUCCAUAUUUACCAAGAGAAAAGGUGACCAGGAGAUCUGGAAUCAUCUGUAUGGAAAUCCUGCCCAAGCAACUUCCAGAUGCUCUGUUUUGUUCCCCCAGAGAAAGAUCCACCAAUCCAAGGAUGCUCUGGGGACCUGGGGACCCUGGGGACAUACUCACUGUCACUGCAGUUCUCCUCAUCACUCCCGUCCUGACAGUCUUCGUCUCCAUCGCACUGGAAGGUGCCAGGGAUGCACUGUCCAUUCCUGCAUUCCACCAGGCCCUGGCUGUGACAAGCUGGGGGAGGCCGGAAGGAUAGUCACCUUAUUUAUUGAUGCCUCUUACUGAUCAUACAAAUGAGGCCCAUUUACCAAGUACCACCAACAAAUGAUUAUCAUGGGUACUCAAAUGGAUGUGGCACUGCUUUAUUUCAAAUGUAGCACUACUUUUUUCCCCCUCAUUCCAAGAAUUUCUGGAAUGGAGGGUUUUCCUUCUUUCUAAACUUUUCUCUUCCUUAUCAGAGAGCACUUAUCAAGAACUGAGUGCUUUUCAAUGAUACUGGCAAUGAUUUUUAAAAAAUUGCAGUUUAUAAGGGGUGUGUUUUGUGGCAAGAACUGGGAUAGGUGUGUCAUAUACAUGAAGUUCAUAUCUUUUUGAGACAGAUGUUAGAGCUGUUUUUUACAGACGAGGGAACUGAAGUCCAGAGAACGCGACUUCUUCCUAAGUCACAAGGCUGCUGGGAGGUAGAGGAAGACUAUGAGGACAAGCUUGUCUGACUCUACACCAGACUUUGCAUUCCACAGCUUCCUUUUAACAACCCAGUGAAAUAAUGUGCUUGAAAGAACUCCCAGAAAACAUACUACGCAUUCCUGCAUUUUAAAGCAUCAGAAACCCAUGUGUCAUGUGACCCGAGUCUUCCUUGAAUUGCCAUCCAACAUUAAGACCCACUUGGUGAAUGGAGGGUCCUCACCACAUGUGUUUCAUUUGGCGCCUUGCUCUCCCCAGUACUUUAAUACAGCCAUUCUGUCCCAUUGGCUUACAGAGCAAGGACUUCAAAUUAAGCAAGGAAAGAGAAAGCCAGAAUUACUUUAAAGCACAGAAGACAUGGACGGAUUAAGCACAGUACCACGCGUUUCCAUAGAAAGAGCUUGACCAUCCUCAGACUGUGACAUUCACGCAGGGUCCUGAUGUCAAUGCAGACACCACGGGGAAAUUGUGUGCCAACCCUUUCUACCAAGUGAACUAGAAGGUUUUGUUCAAAUAUACAGAGUGAGAUACGUCAUUUUAAUCAGUUCAGGAUCGGCACAGGCUGCCUUCUCUCUGGCACUUCUCCCGCGUUCUCCCACAAACGGCCCCUGAGAACAUGCUUGGAGGCUUGGCUGCUCGUAUAUAAUUUGCAGAGAAAGGGGGACUCCCUGGUCUCUGGGAAAAGAAUUGCCUUUGGAAAACUCCCAGACACAUGAAGGAUACAGGAGCAGCAAGAGAAAAAGCAGACACUGCUGGGCCAGAUCAGCCAAUUUAAACUUGAACUUUGGAGGAGAGGGGUUUGAGGUCAGAGCUGUAUUGAUACUGUUCUCACACCUCUUGAAUGCUACUUUCAUAGACGGAAGACAGAAUCAGAUCG